rnacentral:rRNA from 1 species
GAUGAACGCUGGCGGCGUGCCUAAUACAGGCAAGUCGAGCGAACAGACGAGGAGCUUGCUCCUCUUACGUUAGCGGCGGACGGGUGAGUAACACGUGUAUAACCUACCUAUAAGACUGGGAUAACUUCGUGAAACCGGAUCUAAUACCGGAUAAUAUAUUGAACCGCAUGGUUCAAUAGUGAAAGACGGUUUUGCUGUCACUUAUAGAUGUAUCCGCGCCGCAUUAGCUAGUUGGUAAGGUAACGGCUUACCAAGGCAACGAUGCGUAGCCGACCUGUGAGGGUGAUCGGCCACCCGGGAACUGAGACACGGUCCAGACUCCUACGGGAGGCAGCAGUAGGGAAUCUUCCGCAAUGGGCGAAAGCCUGACGGAGCAACGCCGCGUGAGUGAUGAAGGUCUUCGGAUCGUAAAACUCUGUUAUUAGGGAAGAACAAAUGUGUAAGUAACUAUGAACGUCUUGACGGUACCUAAUCAGAAAGCCACGGCUAACUACGUG